rfam:Ictidomys tridecemlineatus contig004614, whole genome shotgun sequence.
GGGGAUGUGGCUCAAAUGGUAGCACACUUGCCUAGCAUGCGUGAGGCACUGGGUUCGAUUCUCAGCAUCACCU